rnacentral:rRNA from 1 species
CACGUAGGCGGUCUACUAAGUCAAAUGUGAAAUCCCUCGGCUCAACCGGGGAACUGCAUGUGAUACUGGUGGACUAGAGGACGGUAGGGGUGAGUGGAACUCCAGGUGGAGCGGUGAAAUGCGUAGAUAUCUGGAGGAACACCUGUGGCGAAAGCGGCUCACUGGACCGUCUCUGACGCUGAGGUGCGAAAGCUAGGGUAGCGAACAGGAUUAGAUACCCUGGUAGUCC